rnacentral:tRNA from 1 species
GCCGGGAUGCCCGAAUGGUAAAGGGGUCGGCCUCGAGAGCCGAUGGGGUUCCAGACCCCGUGUGGGUUCAAAUCCCACUCCCGGCGCCA